GACGAACGCUGGCGGCAUGCCUAAUACAUGCAAGUCGAGCGAACAGAUGAAGUGCUUGCACUUCUGACGUUAGCGGCGAACGGGUGAGUAACACGUAAGGAAUCUACCUAUAAGCGGGGGAUAACAUUCGGAAACGGGUGCUAAUACCGCAUAAUAUCUUCUUCCGCAUGGAAGAAGAUUGAAAGACGGCUCUGCUGUCACUUAUAGAUGACCUUGCGGUGCAUUAGUUAGUUGGUGGGGUAAUGGCCUACCAAGACGAUGAUGCAUAGCCGACCUGGGAGGGUGAUCGGCCACAUUGGGACUGAGACACGGCCCAAACUCCUACGGGAGGCAGCAGUAGGGAAUCUUCCGCAAUGGGCGAAAGCCUGACGGAGCAAUGCCGCGUGAGUGAAGAAGGCCUUCGGGUCGUAAAACUCUGUUAUAAGAGAAAAACAAAUUGUAGAGUAACUGCUACAGUCUUGACGGUAUCUUAUCAGAAAGCCACGGCUAACUACGUGCCAGCCGCCGCAGUAA
rnacentral:rRNA from 1 species